AGUGAACGCUGGCGGUAGGCCUAACACAUGCAAGUCGAACGGCAGCACAGUAAGAGCUUGCUCUUACGGGUUGCGAGUGGCGGACGGGUGAGGAAUACAUCGUAAUCUACUUUUUCGUGGGGGAUAACGUAGGGAAACUUACGCUAAUACCGCAUACGACCUACGGUUGAAAGCAGUGGAUCUUCGGACCUUGCUCGAUUGAAUGAGCCGAUGUCGGAUUAUCUAGUUGGCGGGGGAAAGGCCCACCAAGGCGACGAUCCGUAGCUGGUCUGAGAGGAUGAUCAGCCACACUGGAACUGAGAAACGGUCCAGACUCCUACGGGAGGCAGCAGUGGGGAAUAUUGGACAAUGGGCGCAAGCCUGAUCCAGCCAUACCGCGUGGGUGAAGAAGGCCUUCGGGUUGUAAAGCCCUUUUGUUGGGAAAGAAAAGCAGCAGGUUAAUACCCCGCUGUUCUGACGGUACCCAAAGAAUAAGCACCGGCUAACUUCGUG
rnacentral:rRNA from 1 species